AUUGAACGCUGGCGGCAGGCCUAACACAUGCAAGUCGAACGAGUGGCGGACGGGUGAGUAAUGUCUGGGAAACUGCCCGAUGGCGGGGGAUAACUACUGGAAACGGUAGCUAAUACCGCAUAACAUCGGAGGUGCCCCGAUGGGAUUAGCUAGUAGGUGGGGUAAAGGCUCACCUAGGCGACGCUCCCUAGCUGGGCGGAGAGGAUGAACAGCCACCUGUGAACUGAGACAGGGUCCAGACUCCUACGGGAGGCAGCAGUGGGGAAGAUUGCACAAGGGGCGCAAGCCUGAUGCAGACAUGCCGCGUGUAUGAAGAAGGCCUUCGGGUUGUAAAGUACUUUCAGCGAGGAGGCGUUACUCGCAGAAGAAGCACCGGCUAACUCCGUGCCAGCAGCCGCGGUAAUAC
rnacentral:rRNA from 1 species